AAAAAAAAAAUAAAGAAUUUAAAGCAAUGAAAAAUAUUUCAAAUAUUUUGGAGGGAAAUAUAACAACUCAAGACGAUAUAUCUGAAGAACUAACCGCUGCUGAUAUGGCAUAUAUGAAGAUUACCCCAAUGACUUCUAGUGACGUCGAACAAAGUUUCUCAUUGUUCAGUGUAACACAGUUAAUAAAUGAGGUAAAAAAACGUAC